rnacentral:lncRNA from 1 species
CAUUGAAGGAAGGAGUGGGAAAGGGAAGUGAAGUGUGAGUGGGAGGGGUUUUACCGACAUGACAUUGGUGCGUGCUCCUCUCUUUAAUUAUAAAGCCAAAUUUGAUUUAUAUUUACUUCUGUUUUCUUUUUCUUUUUUAAUUAAUGAAAAAUUAAUUUAAAUGUGAUUAGUUUACUAUUCCUAGUACUAUGUCGCUAGUAUGUAUAUGAUUCUUGGCAAAUACUAGUAAUAUAAUGGUGUGAUUUACACAAGUCACAAAAAUACAAUUUAUAUAAAUCCAAUGUGUGUUUUAUAAAAAUAUGAACAUGAGUUAUAAAUAUAAAUAAACGACAACACAAGUCUGAGGAAGAAAUAAUGCAAAACUAGUGUGUUGUAUCAUGCAUUAUUUCAGUACUGUAAAAAAUUGUUUGUGAUGACAAUUGUUUUGGUUUAAUUAUCUGCAUGAACAAAGAAGAUGGGUGGUUGAGUGCUCCACACUAGACAAGUAGACAGAGAUAUCAACGAAACGACAGCGUUUAACGCAAGAACGAGGUCAUCGCUAUGUAGGAUUCAACCUUUUUUGUUGUUGGUUUGAGACAAAAGUGGACAUCGGAACUGGGGAAGUCACACUUUUAUCCAGGAACUGGAGAGGUCACAUGCAUGUGAGAUCAUCGUAACUAUAAUAUGACGAUCCACUUCUAACGGUCGAGUUUUCCCAACAACAUCUCAUCAUAUACUACUAAUUAAUAAACUCAUCACAUCUUCUGUUACUAGUUAUCAACUAAUCAUAUAGUAAUUAGUUGGCUUUUUAUGUAUUGUGAAUUGUGUGUUUAUAUAUUUAUCUAUAGAUAAAAAAUAAAAUCCCGU